ensembl:snoRNA
GAUCAACGAUGAAACAUAGCCAAAUCUGAUCACCAGUUUAACACUGGUGUAUGAUCUGUCUGUGCCGGGGA